GGGGGCAGGAGUCGAAGAUCGUGCGCAUCCGCCUGGAGACUGCUGCGCCACCGCUGCUUUGCAGGCAGGGGGUUAGGGGUUCGAGUCCCCUUGCCUCCA
rnacentral:tRNA from 1 species